AAGAUCCCGGGGUAGGUGCUGAGACUUUGGCUCGGGCCGAUUUCCCGGUCUCGGAAUCCUUGCAGGGAUUCCCUAAGCCACAUCCUCCCUUCUGUCCACCCGCACUCGUGGGUCUUCCUAUCCCGCCGCCGUCUCCGUCUUGGUCCCCCAGCCUAAUCACUUAUCCCACCUCCCUCAGUUUCCCCCCAACCUGAGCCAGGAGGACUUGCUGAGGGUCGCCCCGGUUUCUUGUCGACUGCAGAACCUGAAAGUUUGCUAGAGGAAGAGAGCGCACGGCGAGCAAGCGGGCAAGGGGCAGCGGCGGCAGCGGCGCCGGGGACCAUGGUGCUGCCGGCGCCUCGUCCGCGGGCGUGAAGGCGGCGCUCCCACUCCCUCCCCGGACUCUGCCGGGGAUUUUUUUUUUAUUCCUUCAGUUGAUGGUAGCCCUCCCACCAGGUGAUCAGACACUGAAUUUGUGAAUCAAGCCAGCAAGCCAAUGUCCCAGGACCUUUUGCUGACAAUUCCCGUUUCCAGACGAAACCUUUGGGCAAUGGUGAGGGCUUCCAUCCCUUCUCUGA